GUGCUCGCUUUGGCAGCACAUGCACUAAAACUGGAACAAUACAGAGAAGAUUAGCCUGGACCCUGCACAAGGAGGACAUGCAAAUUCAUGAAGUGCUACAUAUUAAA
rnacentral:snRNA from 1 species